AUAAACUGGCAUGUUCUGAAAGAAUCACUCUGGAUGCUGUGUGGAGAAAACACUGAAAAGAGUGAGGAGACAUUUGGAAUAAAUAUGGCUUCUGGGGGCCCAUUCCUAUGGAUCAGCAGCUGGCUUCUGGAGGCCCAUUCCUGUGAAUCGUCGAUCUCAUAGAAGAUAAUAUUGUUAGAAGGCUUACCUCAUUGAUGCUGAACAUCCUAAAAAGCUUCUGCUGCUUUGAGUCACUGAAAAAGACCAAGAAACAUGAAUUUAAAAAAAAAUUUCAAAUGUUAUAAAAUAAAUAAUAUGAACUCAUUAUACCUACAAUGAAUAAUUUAAAUUCUUCUUUGGUAGUCCAGGUUUAGAAACUAUGAAAACCCUAGAAGAAAACCUAGGCAAUGCCAUUCAGGACAUAGGCACGGACAAAGAUUUCAUGACGAAGACGCCAAAAACAACUGCAACAAAAGCAAAAAUUGACAGAUGGGAUCUCAUUAAACUAAAGAGCUUCCAUACAGCAAAAGAAGCUACCAUGAGAGUGAACAGACAACCUAUAGAAAGGGAGAAAAAUUUUGCAAUCUGUUCAUCUGACAAAGGUCUAAUAUCCAGCAUCUACAAGGAACUUAAAUAAAUUUACAAGAAAAAAACAAACCCAUUAGAAAAUGGGCAAAGGACAUGAAAAGAUACUUCUCAAAAGACAUACAUGUGGCCAACAAUCAUACAAAAAAAACCUCAACAUCACUGAUGAUUAGAAAAAUGCUAAUCAAAACCACAACGAGAUACCAUCUCAUACCUGUCAGAAUGGCUAUUAAUAAAAAGUUAAAAAACAACAGAUGCUGGUGAGGUUGUUGAGAAAAAGGAAUACUGUUAUACUGUUGGUGGGAAUGUAAAUUAGUUCAACCAUUGUGGGAGACAGUGUGGCAUUUCCUCAAAGACCUAGAGGCAGAAAUACCAUUUGACUCAGCAAUCACGUUACUGGAUAUAUACCCAAAGGAAUAUAAAUCAUUCUAUUAUAAAGAUACAUGCAUGCGCAUGUUCACUGCAGCAUUAUUCACAAUAGCAAAGACAUGGAAUCAACCCAAAUGCCCAUCAAUAACACACUAGAUAAAGAAAAUGUGGUAUAUAUACACCAUGGAAUACUAUUCAGCCAUAAAAAGGAAUGAAAUCAAGUCCUUUGCAGGAACAUGAAUGAAGCUGAAGGCCAUCAUCUUCAGCAAACUAACACAGGAACAGAAAAUAAAAUACCACAUAUUCUCACUUACAACUGGGAGCUGAAUGAUGAGAACAUAUGGACACAUAUAGGGGCACAACACACACUGGGGCCUGUUGGAGGGUGCUGGGGGGAGGAGGCAGAGCAUCAGGAAGAAUAGCUAAUGGAUUCUGGGCUUAAUACCUAAGUGAUGAGAUGAUCUGUGCAGCAAACUACCAUAGUACAUGUUUACCUAUGUAACAAACCUGUACGUCCUGCACAUGUACCCCUGAACAUUAAAAAAGUGUGUUUAAAUUGUGAGAUAAGGAUUCAAGAGGGCCUCUUGCUUCACUAUUGUUCACUUUCCUAGCUUUAAGUUUUCUCUUCUAUUUAUCAUAAGUAUUUAUCCUUAAAUGCCAUGUCAAAUGAUGACUGGUUAAUUAAUUAUUAUUAUUUUUUAGUUCAAAGGGUCCCUUCUAAUGUUAUUUAUCUUUUAACAAGGGAAGACAGGAAUAUUUUCAAGAUCCAAGUAUUUAAAAAGGUGGAAGUGAGAUAGGAUCGGGGUUUGGAAUGAAGUAGAAAGAAAAGGAAACAUGUAAAAAUGUAAAAUCACCAUGUAGGAGCCCAACAUAUCCAAUAUAAGCUAUACUGCUUUGGGUUAUCUAGCUCAUAAUUUUUCUUUGCCUAAUUUCUCUACUUAGAAAUACCAUGUCACUUACGGUGUGUUUUUAAUUGAGGAAAGUUAAUUACUAACUAUUGUUUUGUAAAACUCAUAUGCCAAUUUAUUCUAGGCUAAAAUCAACUUGGCAGAUAAUUAUUUUUAAAUAACAAACAAAAGACCUUUCCUUUCUGAUGCUUUUCCCAAAACAUGCAAUAUAAACCAAAGAGUAAAACAAAAUAAUGUGUUACACUUCUCUUCAACUAGUCUACCAUCACUUCUGUUUAACUGGUUUGAUACAUUCAUGAAAAAUUUCCUUUAAAAGACAUAUUCUUCUAAAACUAAUUUAAAAUAAAACUCUUAUUAAUAUUUUCAAUUCCUACCACUAUCAAUUAUUUGGAAUUAGACCAGGUUAAGAAUUUAAAACUUUGCCUAUCAUUUUGUAUUUUAAAGUCAUGGGUAUUGAUAAGGGACUAAUAUUUAGGAAUUAUUUUAUGUCUUUCAUUUCCUUAUCUUCUCAGUUAACAGGUAUGCUGAGCCUUUGCUAUUUUCACAAUAAACUGAUUACUUGGUUGAUUUAGGUAGCAAAAAAGAUAAUGAACCUGUAUCAAAUUUCUACUUACAUUAUUUUAUGCAUAGUAAAUAAAAAUUUCAUUGCUGUGCAUCCUCUUACUAGUAACUACAAAUUUUAUAAAAAUACAAUUUUUUAAUUAUUUUGCCACUGAAGCUGCAAUGACUAGCAGAAUGUCUGGCAUAUAACAAGUGCAGAAUUAUUUUUAAUAGAUUUAUUGAGGUAUAUUAAUAUACAAUAAAAUGCCCACAUUUAAAUUGUUUUGACAUUUUGACAAUUGUUUUGACACACAAAAUAAGUUUUGACACAUGUACAGACUCAUAAAGCCCUCACCAAAAUCAAGGUAAUCAACAUAUUCAUUACUCCCAAAAGUUUCCUCAUGCUUUCUUUGUAAUCUCGCCCAGCAAUCACCCCGCACCCCAUCCCCAUGCAACCAGUGAUCUGUUUUCUGUCACCAUAGAUUAGUUUGCAGUUUCUAGAAUUUGAUAUAAGUGAAAUCGAACAGUAUAUAUUGUUUUCUGCCUGGCUUCUUUCACUCAGCUUAAUUAUUUUGAGAUUCAUUUGUCAUGUGCGAAACCAUAGCUUAUUUAUUUUUAUUCCUUUUGUUGACUAGUAUUCUAUUGUAUGGCUGUACUACAGUUUGUUUAUCCAUUCAUCUGUUGAUGAACAUUUGAGUCGUUCCCAGUUUUCGGCUUUUACAGAUUAAGCUACUGUGAUGAUGGGUACAUAAGUCUUUAUAUAGACAUACUUUCAUUUUUCUGGGGUGACACUUCAGAGUAGGAUGGCUGGAUCAUACAGUAGGUGUAUGUUUGACUUUUUAACAGACUGCCAAACUGUUCUCCAAAGUGAUUCUACUAUUUAACAUUUUUAUCUGCAUUGUAUAGCAUUCUCCCUUCCUCUCACUGUUGGUAUGGUCAGUCUUUUGAAUUUUAGCCACUCUCAUAGGUAUACAGUGGUAUCUCAUUGUGGUUUUGUUUUUCCCUAAUGUUUAAUGAUGUUUAGCAUUCAUACAUUUUUUUUUUUUGCCAUCUGUUCAUCAUUUUUAGUGAAGUGUCUUCAUGUCUUUUUCCCAUUUGGUAUAGGAAGGGAGUUGGUUGUUUUCUUAUUAGUUAGCUUUAAGAGCUCUUUGUAUAUUCUGGAUAUUAGUCCUUUAUGAGACAUACGAUUUCAAAUAUUUUCUCCCAUUCAGUGGCUUAUCUUUUCAGUCCUUUAACAGUGUCUUUCAAAGAGCAGAAGUUUAUGAUUUUGCUGAAGUCCAAGUUAUCAGUUUUAUAUGGAUUGUAUUUUGAGUCAACCCUAAAAAAAAAAAAUUGCCUGACUGAAGGUCAUAAAGAUUUUCUCCUAUAUUUUCUUCUAGAAGUUUUAUAGUUUUAGGUUUUAUAUUUAGGUCUGUGUUCCAUUUUGAGUUAAUUUGAAGGGUUUUUUUGUAUAUGGAUGUCCGAUUGUUUCAGCAUUAUUUGUUGAAAAUAUGACUCUUUCUCCACCGAAUUGCUUUUGCGUCUUUGUGGAAAAUUCAGUUAUUUAUACACAAGUGGGUCUGUUUCUGAACUCUGUCUCCUGUUCCAUUGAUCUAUCUGUUAUUUAUGCCAAUACCACACUGUCUUGAUUACUGUGGUUAUAUACUACUCUUAAAAUAUUCAACUUUCUUCUGUGUUUUCAAAAUUGUUUCAGAUCUUCUAGUUUCUUUGUUUUUCCAUAUGAACUUUAGAAUCAGCUUAUCUCUUUUUGUUUGUUUGUUUUUUGAGAGAGAGCCUCACUCUGUCACCCAGGCUGGAAUGCAGUGCCAAUGAUCACGGCUCACCACAGCCUCAACCUCCUGGGCUCAGGUGAUCCUCCCACCUCAGCCUCCCGAAUAGCUGGGACUAUAGGCACACACCACCAUGCCCAACUAAUUUUUGUAGUUUUUGUAGAGACAGGGCUUUGCCAUGUUGCCCAGGCUGGUCUCAGACUCCUGGGCUCAAGCAAUCCUCCCACGUCCACCUCGCAAAGUGCCAGGAUUACAGGCAUAAGCCACCAUGCCUGUCCCAGCUUAUCAAUUUCUACCAAAAAAAAAAAAUUGCCAGAAUUUUGCUUGACACUUUUUUUAUUCUUUAGGUCAAUCCAAGGAAAAUUGACUUAUUAUAACCAUAUUGAGACUUCUGACUCAUGGCUCAAUAUAUUUUUAUUAAAUAAAAGAAGAAUUUUUGAAACGGGUUUUGGAAUAAUUUUCAGAAGUUCUAGGAAAAUUAGAAAUAUCAUGUUUAACUGCUGAAAGAAAUCAUAGAUGACACAAACAAAUGAAAACACAUCUCAUGCUUGGGGUGGGGGGAGGAAAUCAAUAUUGUUAAAAUUACCAUACUGCCCAAAGCAAUCUACAGAUUCAAUGCAAUUCCUAUGAAAAUACCAUCAUCAUUCUUCACAGAACUAGAAAAAAAAUCCUAAAAUUCAUAUGGAACCUGCAUAGCCAAAGCAAUACAAAGCAAAAAGAACAAAUCUGGAGGCAUCACAUCACCCAACUUCGAACUAUACUACAAGGUUAUUGUUACCAAAACAGCAUGGUACUUGUAUAAAAAUAGGCACAUAGACCAAUGGAACAGAAUAGAGAACUCAGAAAUAAAGCCAAAUACUUAUAGCCAACUGAUCUUUGACACAGCAAACAAAAACAUAAAAUGGAGAAAGGACACCCUAUUCAACAAAUGGUGCUGGGAUAAUUGGCAAGCCACAUGUAGGAUGAUGAAACUGGAUCCUCAUCUCUUACCUUAUACAAAAGCCAACUCAAGAUGAAUCAACGACUUAAAUCUAAGGGCUGAAACCAUAAAAAUUCUAGAAGACAACAUCAGAAAAGCCCUUCUAGACAUUGGCUUAGGCAAAGAAUUCGUGACCAGGAACCCAAAGCAAAUGCAACAAAAACAAAAAUAGGUAAAUGGGACAUAAUUAAACCAAAAAGCUUCUGUACAGCAAAAGAAAGAAUCAGCAGAGUAAACACAUAACCCACAGACUAGGAGAAAAUAUUCACAAAGCAUGAAUCUGAGAGAGGACUAAUAUCCAGAAUCUAUAAGGAACUCAAACAAAUCAGCAAGAAAAGAAAUAAAUAAUCCCAUCAAAACGUGGGCAAAGAACAUGAAUAAAUAAUUCUCAAAAAAGAUAUAUAAACAGUCAACAAAUAUAUGAAAACAUGCUCAACAUCACUAAUUAUCAGGUAAAUGCAAAUUAAAAUUGCAAUGAGAUACCCCCUUACUUCUGCAAGAAUGGCCAUAAUAUGAAAAAGACACUUGCACAUGCAUGUUUAUAGCAGCAAAAUUCAUAAUUGCAAAAAUAUGGAGCCAACAUACCUGCCCAUCAAUCAAUGAGUGGAUAAAGAAAAUGUGGUAUAUAUACACCAUCGAAUGUGGUAUAUAUGCACUCAGUCAUAAAAAGAAAUGAGAUAAUGUAUGUUGCACCAACUUGGAUGGAGCUGGAGGCCAUUAUUCUACAUGAAGUAACCCUCAGGAAUGAAAAACCAAAUAAUGUAUGUUCUCACUUAUAAGUAGGAGCUAAGCUGUGAGAAUGCAAAGGCUUAAGAAUGAUAUCAUGGGCUUUGGAGACUUGUGGGGAAGGAUGGGAGGGGGGUGAGAGAUAAAAGACUACACAUUGGGUACAGUGUACACUGCUCAGGUGACAGGUGCACCAAAAUCUCAGAAAUCACCACUAAAGAGUUUAUCACUGUAACCAAAAACCACCUGUUCACCAAAAGCUAUUGAAAUUUUAAAAAGAGAUAAAAUAAAAAUGCAUAGUUUAAAAAUGUAGAUAGUAUUCAUAUGGUUCAAAACUCCAAAAUUAUAGAAGAAUACAGAGCAUCCCUCCCACUCUUGCCUCCCAGGAACCCAAUUCUCAUCCUCCAUGAUCUGCACAUUAAAAGUUUCCCCAUUCAUUUUUAUGGCCCUGGAUGUAGGGCCAUAAAAUGGCUUGUAAGGAUGUUCCAUAAUUUAUUUAAUCAGUGUCUUAGUGAGGGACAUUUAGAUUAUUUCCAAUUCUUUGCCACUACAAAAAUUCCACAAUAAAUAACCUUGUACAAUCAUAAUUUCCUACAUGUAUGUACAUAGCUGAAGAAUAAAUUCUUUAAAAUGAGAUUGACACCUCAAAGGGUAUAGAUAUUUAUACUUUUGAUAGUUACUGCCAAAUUGCCAUCCAAAGGCAAUAGAAAAUGUAUAUUCUCAAUUUUUAGAUCUUUGUAAAUCUCAUAGAUGAAAAAUGUCAUCAGAGCACAGUUUUUUAUUUCUUUUACUAUGAAUGAGGUGAGUAUAUUUUGAUAUAUUUAAGAACAAUUUAUAUUUCUUUGUAUGAACUACUUAAAUGUUCUUACUUUAGUUUCUUCAUUUGUACCUCAGUUUCCUCAUAGGGUUGUUGUAAAGAUAAAAUAAUUCGUAUGCAGAAAUAUCAAGAACAGUGCCUAGAACAUAAUAAGCACCAUGUAAGCGGUUACUCUUAUUGCCAUCAUCAUCAUUUGUUCAUAUCCUUUAUCCAUUUUUCUACCGGGUUGUUGAUCUGUCCUCCUGUUUUUGUAGAAAUUACUGAAGUGUAAGAAGGGUGGCCACAUAUCACACAUCUCAGUUUGUCUGAGAAAGUCCCAAUGUAUGCCUGUUGUCUUAGCAUAAUAAUUAAUAAGGCCCCUGCACACUUUCAAAUGGUAGUGAUUUGAAUGAUAUGGUCACUUUCAAAUGGUAGUGAUUUGAAUUACAUGGUGAAGUAAAUUAAAACUGCAUUUGGAAUCUCCAAAAAAAAGACAAAUACAUAGAAACAGAGAGUAGAAUGGUGGUUACUAGAGGUGGGGAUUGGGAACACACAAAGGGGAUGGGGAGAUGGAGGUAAAAGGGUGCAAAGCUGUAGUUGUAUGUAGGAUGAAUAAGUCUAGAGAGUAAGACUAAAGAUCCAAUGUAUAGCAUGAGGACUAUAGUUAAUAGUAUUGCACUGCAUGCUGGAAAUUUGCUGAGAGAAUAGAUUUCAGGUGCUUUUAACACACAACGAGGGAAAGGUAACUAUGUGAGAAGAUGUGUAUAUUAACUUGCUUGACUGCAGUAACCAUUCCACUGUGUAUAUCAAAACAUCAUGUGGUCAGGAACAAUGACUCAUGCCUGUAAUCCCAUUGCUUUAGGAAAGGCAAGGCAGGGAGGAUCCCUUGAGACCAGAAGUUCAAGACCAGCCUGGGCAACACAGCAAGACCCCCAUCUCUAAAAAAGAAAAAAAAACUUAAUUAGCCAGGCAUGGUGACAUGCACCUGUGGUCCUAGCUACUCAGGAGGCUGAAGGGGGAUGAUCACUUGAGCCCAGGAGUUUGAGGUUACAGUGAACUAUGAUUGCGCUGCUACACUCCAGCCUGGACAACACAGCAAGGCCCUAUCUCUAAAAAGAAAAAUUUUUUAAAAAUAAUUAAAUAUAUAUAAUUUUUAAAAAAGAAAUAUGUUUAUUAAAAUAUGGUAGUAAAUUUUGAUCUGGCUUUUC
rnacentral:lncRNA from 1 species